AGGAUCGGGGGCGCGCUCGAGUGGGGCGAAAUGAUGCGUGGGGACCGAGCGGAGUGGCGGAAAUUGUCACUAAAGUUGGGGCCAUUAUAUGGCCAAAAAUCAGAAAAGAGUAUCCCAAUGCCAAAAAACAGUAAUUUCGCCGCCCACGCAAAGGAAGGAAACUAAGAAACGGAGAGAGAGGCGCCGCGCAUGAGCGAGAGAGCCGAAGAGAGCGGGAGAGUAAACGCGCUCGCACUCUCGCGCGAAUGAGAAAUCAAAACAAAUUGCAAAAGAAUAGAGAUUUUCUGCCUGGGUUAUGUGUAUAUGUUUUGACGAGCGUGUACCAAGCGUAUGCGCACCGCCACAGCAGAAUAAAAAAUAUACAAAAUUAUUUGCUGCACUCGCACACACACACUCACAACUAAUCGCACACACACACACCCGCACGAAGUGCAGGCAUAUUAUGCACGCCAUAUAAACAAUUUCGAAAAUAAUACACUUGGUUUCGUGGCCCCCGACGGCUACGUCAUAGCACUAAAAUAAUGGCGCGCUUUUUAUAAUGCAACCACAACAACAACUCUCGCAGCGAAGUCGCUAAAAGUUAAUGGAAAAAAACAUAAUCAAUUCGGGAUUUCGCAACGUUUAAUCAGAUCGGUUGAAUUCGGGGUGUCGGCUGGACAGCGGGGUAAACAAACAACAUUCUGAGUGCAUCGAAAAUUUCUCUACACUUUCUUUUUUGCACCCACCAAAGGCACAGGCAGGCACAUCAAUAUUUUCCAUUUUAUAUACGCCUGCUGCUGCUGCCUCGCAUCGUGUGGCUACACUCGAAACGCCCUGAAACGCCACAAAACUCACCUAGUUUCAACUAUCCUAGUCUGAUAAAUACGCGCUACGUGUUUGCAAACAUUUAGGCGUGCUCUGGACCGACGAAACUCGGGCAGUCACCUGGCUUAUCGAACAUCGCUAUCGAAUGGUGUAAUCGAAUAAAAUGAUGCUCAAAACGGUCACUCUAAAUAUAUCGACGGGUAUAUCCAGGACACAAGCCACGGGUUGAGUCCGUGAUAGAAUCCUACAAUUUCAAAGAUUGCCUUUUUGGAAUGUUUAACAACUGUUUAUUUCUAAUUUAUCGUCUGUAGUUUUAGACAAAUUUCUAUGCUUAUGUUGAGAUCCGGUUUGUAUCGGUUAAUUAGCCGCAACAGGUUAUACUUUUUCGCCUUGGAGUUGUUCGACUCCAGUUCGUAUAAAGUGGAAAGAUUGACCAGCAAACUCUCGUUCAGGGAUUUCUGGGGAUUCAGGUUGAUGGCGCGUUCGUACAAGUUUAUUGCAUCCUUGAGCUUUCCGGCAUACAGAAGACACACGCCCAUGUUGUUCAGGAUCAUUGUGUUGCCGCUGUCCAAGUGCAGAGCCUUUUGGAAUAUCACAUAGGCCUCGGGAAAAUCGUUUUUGGCCACAGCUAUUAGCCCUUUGUCCACCAAGUCUCUCAGAUCUGGCGAUGAGUUUCUAAAUUGGAAAGUAUUCAAAUGAAAUCCAAGUUCUUUCGUUUUUAGUCACAACUUACAUUUCCCUUAGUCUCCUUGAGACGGCAAACUUUUGUUCUGCUCCAAAGAUAUCACCAAUUUGUAGAUAAAUGCGUCCCCAAGCGGAGUACAACGAACGCUGGUCCUCCUUUCUCAAGUUAGAGCGCUUUAGAAGGGUUCCCUCCAUUAUGUCGUCUAUCAUACUGAAUUUUUUCAUCUGUAAGAAUUGAUGAUCGAAUGCAGUACCCUCUCGCAUCGCCUUUGCCAAAACUCCUCGGCUGUCUUGUUGCGCAGAUUAUUGUAGUGCUUUUUGAUCUCCCGGCUGGUGACAUGGAGUUCUGAAAGCCUGUCCAAGGCGAUGUGUGGUUUUCCCAGAUAAAUGGGCAGCUCUGCCAGCAAAAGGCGGAACGAAAAGCAGGCAAUGGAUCCGCUCUUGCCAUUGUACAUCUCCGGAUAGAAGUCGUAGAAGACGUCGGCGCUCCUGAGCUGGCCAAAGGGUUCUGCUUCAGCAUUCAACAGCUCGAACUCGCCCAGCUUGGCGAGGAGGGCGAGGCGCGUGAACCACAGCUGCAGGGAGUGCGGCGAGUGCUUGGCCGGUUGACCAGACCUCCCAUAACCCUGGCCGUAAAUGGUCAAAAGGCGGCCAGUUAGAUUGACAGCUGUGCGAUAGCAACCGGCGUGGAUGAGGGUCCUCAAUCCGCGCUCGUCCUGUGUGACAUCAUCGACGCGCAGGAUUUUGCGGUAGGACAACUCGGCCUCUCCAAGGUGUUGGGUCACUGCUACACUGAUGGGAUCCGCCUGAAAGGGUGGAUGCCCGGCAUUAUCAGUUUGCCCGACUCGUUUUCCCGGGGCAACUCCCAUAGAUUUCGCACUUCGUCCGUGACUUUUAUGCCGUCCUCACCUGUCUCAGGUGUCUCAACAAAUUCAGGUGGCUGGAAAAAUCCGG